rnacentral:rRNA from 1 species
GUUGAACGCUGGCGGCAGGCUUAACACAUGCAAGUCGAGCGGAGAUGAGGUGCUUGCACCUUAUCUUAGCGGCGGACGGGUGAGUAAUGCUUAGGAAUCUGCCUAUUAGUGGGGGACAACAUUCCGAAAGGAAUGCUAAUACCGCAUACGUCCUACGGGAGAAAGCAGGGGAUCUUCGGACCUUGCGCUAAUAGAUGAGCCUAAGUCGGAUUAGCUAGUUGGUGGGGUAAAGGCCUACCAAGGCGACGGUCUGUAGCGGGUCUGAGAGGAUGAUCCGCCACACUGGGACUGAGACACGGCCCAGACUCCUACGGGAGGCAGCAGUGGGGAAUAUUGGACAAUGGGGGGAACCCUGAUCCAGCCAUGCCGCGUGUGUGAAGAAGGCCUUAUGGUUGUAAAGCACUUUAAGCGAGGAGGAGGCUACUGAGACUAAUACUCUUGGAUAGUGGACGUUACUCGCAGAAUAAGCACCGGCCAACUCUGUGCCAGCCGCCGCAGUAACAC